rnacentral:rRNA from 1 species
UACGUAGGCAGCGAGCGUUGUUCGGAAUUACUGGGCGUAAAGCGUGCGCAGGCGGCGCGUUAAGACAGGUGUGAAAGCCCCGAGCUUAACUUGGGAAUUGCGCUUGUGACUGGCGUGCUGGAGUGUGGCAGAGGGAGGUGGAAUUCCACGUGUAGCAGUGAAAUGCGUAGAGAUGUGGAGGAACACCGAUGGCGAAGGCAGCCUCCUGGGCCAGCACUGACGCUCAUGCACGAAAGCGUGGGGAGCAAACAGG